rnacentral:rRNA from 1 species
UACGGAGGGUGCAAGCGUUAUCCGGAUUCACUGGGUUUAAAGGGUGCGUAGGUGGGCUAGUAAGUCCGUGGUGAAAUCUCCAAGCUUAACUUGGAAACUGCCGUGGAUACUAUUAGUCUUGAAUAUUGUGGAGGUAAGCGGAAUAUGUCAUGUAGCGGUGAAAUGCUUAGAUAUGACAUAGAACACCGAUAGCGAAGGCAGCUUGCUACACAAUCAUUGACACUGAGGCACGAAAGCGUGGGGAGCGAACAGG